AGGAGAAGAUUAGGACAACUGUUAGUCAUGGAUACCAUGUUGAGACAUUCUCUACAUCCAGAGAGCAACAGCAGGAAGAUCAGAGAGCUAAGAGGUCUCAUCACUGCCCACACUGUGAAGAGAUUUUCCCAUUUCUAUCAAAGCUAAAAAUACACC